AUACGGGGGGUGCAAGCGUUAAGCGGAAUUACUGGGCGUAAAGCGCGCGUAGGCGGUUUGCUCAGUCGGAUGUGAAAGCCCAGGGCUCAACCUUGGAACUGCAUACGAUACUGGCAAACUAGAGUGUGAGAGAGGAUAGUGGAAUUUCCGGUGUAGCGGUGAAAUGCGUAGAUAUCGGAAGGAACAUCAGUGGCGAAGGCGACUGUCUGGCUCAACACUGACGCUGAGGUGCGAAAGCGUGGGUAGCAAACAGGAUUAGAAACCCCAGUAGUCC
rnacentral:rRNA from 1 species